GGUGAACGCUGGCGGUAGGCCUAACACAUGCAAGUCGAACGGCAGCACAGUAAGAGCUUGCUCUUAUGGGUGGCGAGUGGUGGACGGGUGAGGAAUACAUCGGAAUCUACCUUUUCGUGGGGGAUAACGUAGGGAAACUUACGCUAAUACCGCAUAAGACCUUCGGGUGAAAGCCGGGGACCUUCGGGCCUGGCGCGGAU
rnacentral:rRNA from 1 species